AUGUACAUAUUUGUCAAGAAUCCCACUGGCAGGACAAUCUGCCUCAAGGUCCGGCCAUCAGAUACCCUACACACUGUGAAAGAAAAGAUCCAGGAGCAGUAUCACCUCGUGUUUGACGGGGUGCAUUUAGAGGAUAACCUUACACUAGCCGAUUAUGGCAUCCAACAUGAAUCCACACUUGACCUCCACGAAAAUAUGCAAAUCUACGUAAAGGAUGUGCUCGCUGGCAUCAGAAUUACUCUCGAGGUCGAUAACAUGGAUACCAUUGACAAUGUGAAGGCCAAGAUCCAAGAUCAUACUGGCCUUCCGAAGGGUCAGCUGUGCCUCAUCUUUGCCAACAAACAGCUGGAGGACGGGAAGCACACUUUGGCCGACCACAACAUUAUGAAGGAGUCCACCCUUCUCCUCGUCCUCCACCCUUCACUGGUAGAAAAAGAGGCUUCCGUCCAGCCCCAUUAG
rnacentral:rRNA from 1 species